rnacentral:rRNA from 1 species
GACGAACGCUGGCGGCGUGCCUAACACAUGCAAGUCGAGCGGAGAUAUAUGGAAGGUUUACCGGAAAUAUAUCUUAGCGGCGGACGGGUGAGUAACGCGUGGGCAACCUGCCUCAUACAGGGGGAUAACACAGGGAAACUUGUGCUAAUACCGCAUGAAAUCAUAGUAUGGCAUCAUACAAUGAUCAAAGGAGCAAUCCGGUAUGAGAUGGGCCCGCGUCCGAUUAGCUAGUUGGUGAGGUAACGGCUCACCAAGGCGACGAUCGGUAGCCGAACUGAGAGGUUGAUCGGCCACAUUGGGACUGAGACACGGCCCAGACUCCUACGGGAGGCAGCAGUGGGGAAUAUUGCGCAAUGGGGGAAACCCUGACGCAGCAACGCCGCGUGAAGGAAGAAGGCCUUCGGUUGUAAGUCUUUAUACGUGAGCAGUGCCCUUAUAUGAAUAGUAUAGAGGGAGGGAGUUAAGACGUAUGAAUAAGCAACGGCGUAACUCCGUCG